GACGAACGCUGGCGGCGUGCUUAACACAUGCAAGUCGAACGGAAAGGCCCUGCUUUUGUGGGGUGCCCGAGUGGCGAACGGGUGAGUAACACGUGAGUAACCUGCCCUUGACUUUGGGAUAACUUCAGGAAACUGGGGCUAAUACCGGAUAGGAGCUCCUGCUGCAUGGUGGGGGUUGGAAAGUUUCGGCGGUUGGGGAUGGACUCGCGGCUUAUCAGCUUGUUGGUGGGGUAGUGGCUUACCAAGGCUUUGACGGGUAGCCGGCCUGAGAGGGUGACCGGCCACAUUGGGACUGAGAUACGGCCCAGACUCCUACGGGAGGCAGCAGUGGGGAAUAUUGCACAAUGGGCGGAAGCCUGAUGCAGCAACGCCGCGCGCGGGAUGACGGCCUUCGGGUUGUAAACCGCUUUCGCCUGUGACGAAGCGUGAGUGACGGUAAUGGGUAAAGAAGCACCGGCUAACUACGUG
rnacentral:rRNA from 1 species